rnacentral:rRNA from 1 species
GACGAACGCUGGCGGCAGGCCUAACACAUGCAAGUCGAACGGGACCUUCGGGUCUAGUGGCGGACGGGUGAGUAACGCGUGGGAACGUGCCCUUUGGUUCGGAAUAGCCUCGGGAAACUGGGAGUAAUACCGGAUACGGUCGAGAGACGAAAGAUUUAUCGCCGAAGGAUCGGCCCGCGUUGGAUUAGGUAGUUGGUGGGGUAAAGGCCUACCAAGCCGACGAUCCAUAGCUGGUUUGAGAGGAUGAUCAGCCACACUGGGACUGAGACACGGCCCAGACUCCUACGGGAGGCAGCAGUGGGGGAAUAUUGGACAAUGGGCGCAAGCCUGAUCAGCCAUGCCGCGUGAGUGAUGAAGGUCUUAGGAUUGUAAAGCUCUUUCACCGAUGAAGAUAAUGACGGUAGUCGGAGAAGAAGCCCCCGGCUAACUUCGUGCCAGCAGCCGC